rnacentral:rRNA from 1 species
GGGGAAUCUUGCACAAUGGGGGCAACCCUGAUGCAGCGACGCCGCGUGAGUGAUGAAGCCCUUCGGGGUGUAAAGCUCUUUCGACAGGAACGAUAAUGACGGUACCUGGAGAAGAAGCUGCGGCUAACUACGUGCCAGCAGCCGCGGUAAUACGUAGGCAGCAAACGUUGUUCGGAAUUACUGGGCGUAAAGAGUGUGUAGGCGGUUUUGUAAGUUUGGUGUGAAAUCUCCCGGCUUAACUGGGAGGGUGCGCCGAAAACUGCAAGGCUUGAGUGCUGGAGAGGAGAGCGGAAUUCCUGGUGUAGCGGUGAAAUGCGUAGAUAUCAGGAGGAACACCGGCGGUGUAGACGGCUCUCUGGACAGUAACUGACGCUGAGACACGAAAGCGUGGGGAGCAAAC